rnacentral:rRNA from 1 species
AUUGAACGCUGGCGGUAUGCUUAAGACAUGCAAGUCGUGCGGUAGGGGCUUCGGCCCUGAGAGCGGCGGACGGGUGAGUAACGCGUGGGAAUCUGCCUGCUAGUGGGGGAUAGCCCGGAGAAAUCCGGAUUAAUACCGCAUACGCCCUAAGGGGGAAAGCCGCAAGGCGCUAGUAGAUGAGCUCGCGUAAGAUUAGCUAGUUGGUGAGGUAAAGGCUCACCAAGGCGACGAUCUUUAGCUGGUCUGAGAGGAUGGCCAGCCACAUCCGGGACUGAGACACGGCCCGGACUCCUACGGGAGGCAGCAGUCGGGAAUAUUGGACAAUGGGCGCAAGCCUGAUCCAGCAAUACCGCGUGUGUGAAGAAGGCCUGCGGGUUGUAAAGCACUUUCAGUUGGGAAGAUAAUGACGUUACCAACAGAAGAAGCACCGGCUAAC